CUGGUCUUUGUGGGUGUUGCUCCUACCUGAAGAGACUUCAUCCUCACUGUUAUAGUCCGAAAUGCUCUGCAAGACCCAAUCUUGAGAGACACAAACACAGACAGAAGCUGGAAUCAGGUUGGCUCUCCAGAAGAGAACCGGCAGGACGGUCCCAGUGUCUCAUCCCUUCAGUUGUUCCUCAGCACCUGAGGCAUUCUAGAAUACGUACAGUGUCCACUGGAUCCUGAGUCCACCUGCAGUCAGAGAAAGGAAGUCACUGUGAGAUCAGAUACUGUUUGUACAGGUCUCUCCUCCUGGUGCUGACCUUGGGAAACUUGAUGGGAUACAGUGCAUGAGGCAAAUGCCCUAAAUAAAGCACAGAGGAUACUUGUGUGAAA